AUGGUUUACAAACACCUAGGGGUCACAGCCAGAGUUAGUUUGCUCAGGCACUAAUCGACCCUUUUUCUGUAGAUCUGCAGGGAAAGGAGCUUGGCAGCUGCUGAUAUGUGAUUUUAGCCUAGGAAUGUUAGGAAUCACGGAAAAAUGCAGUGGUGAAAGAGUUCCAAUGCUUCUUAUGCUUGAGAUGUUUGGAGUCGAAAUCUUGGCUAAUAACGUGCAGGUGCAGUUGGCGCAUCGAAGGGACCUGCAGGAGGAGAUAUAUGCAACACACCAUAGGUUCAAAUGGCACAUUCCACUGUCCACCAAUCAUUGAAGAUGACAAGACACGGACCAAGACACAUGGGUAGAUUGAUUGUAAUCUGAAGCAUAAUAAAAUGCUAGAUUCUCCUAUACGGAUGACCAUACUACUCUAUUCUUAAACUUCUUCACAACUGUUAAACGAUUGUCGUAAAAUAUUUUUGCUAUAAGUAUUUAGUUCUUUAUCCAUAAA